UUCCGGUUGAUCCUGCCGGAGGCUACCGCUAUUGGAGUUCGAUUAAGCCAUGCGAGUCGAGAGUCUUAGGGACUCGGCGUACCGCUCAGUAACACGUGGGUAACCUGCCCUAUGCUGGGGAAUAACCUCGAGAAAUUGAGAAUAAUGCCCCAUAGUUCACCACACCUGGAACGGUGGGUGGAUGAAAGCUCCGGCGGCAUAGGAUGGGCCUGCGGCGUAUCAGGUUGUAGGGGGUGUAAUGUACCCUCUAGCCAUCUACGCGUACGGGUGUUGAGAGACAUCGCCCGGAGAUGGAUUCUGAGACACGAAUCCAGACCCUACGGGGUGCAGCAGGCGCGAAAACUUGGCAAUGCGAGCAAUCGUGACCAGGGAACUCCAAGUGCAUCGGGUAAGACCGAUGCUUUUCUUGACUCUUCAAAGGUCUUGGAAUAAGGGGUGGGUAAGGACGGUGCCAGCCGCCGCGGUAAUACCGGCGCCUCAAGUGGUAGUCGCUUUUAUUGGGCCUAAAACGUCCGUAGCCGGUUUGGUACAUUCGUGGGUAAAUCAAGACGCUCAACGUCUUGAAUUCUGCGAGCACGGCCAGACUUGGACCGGGUGAGGUGUGGGGUACUCUCAGGGUAGGGGUAAAAUCCUGUCAUCCUGAGAGGACCACCUGUUGCGAAGGCGCCACACUAGAACGGAUC
rnacentral:rRNA from 1 species